AGCACCACGGCUUUCCUUAUGGGUGUCCAAUGAAGCAUGCAGAUCAGCGUCGAAAUUAAAGAGGGAUCUGUAAUGAAACUCCCAGAGCCCCCUGAGUAAGAAAGUAACAAGACAGCCCAUAAAUAAGACACAGAGAACAAGAUCAUAAACGAUUUAGACACGCAGGAAGUAGGAAAUAGGACAGCAGACAAGAGCAGGAAGUUUAUGAAUGCCUCGCUGACGUACCUACAUUGUGAGCCCACAGGGAAACCUGUUUGGCAUUUGGGGCAGAAAUGUCAUGUAGCUGUCACAAGCUAUAUUUAAAUGAAGGAUGGCAAUGUCUCAGUUGUGAAGGUAGUGAUCUUGGUGUUCAGUUUGAAAUGUAAAUCAAAAGACAAAUUUAAAGAGUUCUUGCUUUGAAAUGACUCAAAUAAAUUCACUCUCUUGCUGAAUGAUUUAUAAAACAAACUACUGCUGCUUUUGAAGUUAGGAGUUGGCUCGAAUCUGAGGGUUCCAAAACGAUAUCACUUUGGGCAACGGCCCCAACCUUUUUUGCACCACGGACCGGUUUAUGCCCGACAAUAUUUUCACGGACCGGCCUUUAAGGUGUCGCGGAUAAAUACAACAAAAUAAAACUAGUACCAGUAUCGAAAAAAAAAAAAGAUUUAUUCAUAAGACACGUGAAAAGACCCAAGAAAACCGAGUGAACGAUAAAAACGAUAACAAAAUAACGCUGAAAACCGAUAAAAACCCUGAAAACCAUACAUUUCACACCUGAGCCUCAACUCUCACGGACCGGUACCGGUCCGAGGCCCGGGGGUUGGAGACCGCUGACUUUGAGAGUUGGCAGGGGCGUAACUUCCAGGGGGGUUAGGGGGGUUAUGACCCCCCCAAUAAUCAGACCCAACCAAUAUAACCCCCUCAAUAAAAUUAUGAAUCAUCUUGCAUAAAUAGGCUGUUGAUUUUCUUCACUAAUUUGAGGUAUUACCAGCAAAAUAGUUGCAUGUUUAAUCAUCUGGGAAUUUACCCAGAUUUUAUUUAUUUACUUAGACAGCGAUCUUGACCCCCCCCCAAUGUUCAGCACAAGUUGCGCCGAUAAGAGUCAAGGUUCUCC
ensembl:lncRNA